UGGGGAAUCUUAGACAAUGGGCGCAAGCCUGAUCUAGCCAUGCCGCGUGGGUGAUGAAGGCCUUAGGGUCGUAAAGCCCUUUCGCCGGGGAAGAUAAUGACGGUACCCGGUAAAGAAACCCCGGCUAACUCCGUGCCAGCAGCCGCGGUAAUACGGAGGGGGUUAGCGUUGUUCGGAAUGACUGGGCGUAAAGCGCGCGUAGGCGGAUCGGAAAGUUGGGGGUGAAAUCCCGGGGCUCAACCCCGGAAUGGCCUUCAAAACUCCCGGUCUUGAGGUCGAGAGAGGUGAGUGGAAUUCCGAGUGUAGAGGUGAAAUUCGUAGAUAUUCGGAGGAACACCAGUGGCGAAGGCGGCUCACUGGCUCGAUACUGACGCUGAGGUGCGAAAGCGUGGGGAGCAAACA
rnacentral:rRNA from 1 species